AAUUAUAUUUCUAUGUUUGUUAAUAUCACUUUUCACAGGGGACUUAGUAGCUGGCUGGGAGGCUGUGAAAAAUGAUAUUAAGAAACAAGUAUCACUUUUCCCAGCAGCAGUCUUGCUAGCUAGCAGGUUUUUAAAAGGGGGAGUAGGGAGGCAAAAGAAACAACAAAAAGGACAAGAACAUGCAAAGUACCUUAUUUGUUUUUCUAUUCUAUUUAGGUCUACUAAAGAAUAGACAAUUGUACAUUAUUUUUAUUAUUGAGACUGAAAAAAAACCCGUAUAUAAAUUACAGUGACUUGGACAUGUGUAUGUCCAUAUUUAUUUGUUUUUCCUAAAGUUAAGUAUUUUAGGAAAAACUGUCGGAGCGGCCACCAGCAAGAGGUGGUAGCCUCACUUUGAGGCCACCACAAAAUUUGUUGUGAGAACUCCUGAUCUAUAUCAUGAGGAGUUGCCUA